AAAGGCUAGUAAUGUAGUUUCUUAUUAUCAUUUAUAAUUAUUGUGAUGUUUUGCACUAAUCAGUCAUUCAGUGUUUGUUUUUAUUAUAUUUCAGAUCUAAUAGUAUGAAUUGAGAUGAUUAUUUAGUUGCCUUCAACUGGUCAGUGGUCAAAAGAGAGUAUUUCUGUGUGUCUUGAAGCAUUGAAUGCCCCAAAACAACCAGUAUGAUAAGAAGACCAGAGUAUACAGCUUCCCAAAAUGUUGAAAGACUAAGCUGUUUUCUAAGGACUUGUAAACUAUCUAGGUUGAAAACAGCCAUGGACAAUGAAUUUGGAGGUGCAUGCUGGAGCAUCAGAAAUUACAGACUUGGAAUAAAUAAUUGCACAAUACACAUUUACUGAGAAGUGAAACAUGUUUAUGUUAAAGUGCAAUAUCCAUACUUGUAACAUUUACUUGGGGGUAAUAGUUACAGUGUUGAAAAAGACUACCAGUGUUACAUUACAAUCUAAGUUACAGUGUGGAUGCUACUUCUAAAUUCUUGAUAAUCAAGUGUUUUUAAUAACUUAUGGAUACUAAUUAUUUAUCAAACUGUUUAAUUUAUCACAUUUCUACAUCAAUAUUUUAUAUAAAAUGUUUGUUGUUAUAUAAUAUAUGU